GAUGAACGCUGGCGGCGUGCCUAAUACAUGCAAGUCGAGCGAAGCGGGGACGGGUGAGUAACACGUGGAUAACCUCCUAUAAGACUGGGAUAACUUCGGGCAACCGGAGCUUAAACGGAUACUUACAGAUGGAUCUGCGGUGCAUUAGCUAGGUGGUAGGGUAACGGCUUAACAAGGCAACGAUGCAUCGCCGACCUGAGCGGGUGAGCGGCCACACUGAAACUGAGACACGGUCCAGACGCCUACGGGAGGCAGCAGUGGGGAAUCUUCCGGAAUGGGCGAAAGCCUGACGGAGCAACGCCGCGUGAGUGAUGAAGGUCUUCGGGUCGGAAAACUCUGUUAUUGGGGAAGCGGUACCUAAUCAGAAAGCCGCGGCUAACUACGUGCCAGCGGCCGCGGUAAUAC
rnacentral:rRNA from 1 species